AGUGAACGCUGGCGGUAGGCCUAACACAUGCAAGUCGAACGACCGCACAGUAAGAGCUUUCUCUUACGGGUGGCGAGUGGCGGACGGGUGAGGCAUACAUCGGAAUCUACUAUUUCGUGGGGGAUUACGUAGGGAAACUUAUGCUAAUACCGCAUACGACCUACGGGUGAAAGCAGGGGAUCUUCGGACCCUGCGCGUCUGAAUGAGACGGUGUCGGAUUAGCUAGUUGGCGGGGUAAAGGCCCACCAAGGCGACGAUACGUAGCUGGUCUGAGAGGAUGAUCAGCCACACUGGAACUGAGACACGGUCCAGACUCCUACGGGAGGCAGCAGUGGGGAAUAUUCGACAAUGGGCGCAAGCCUGAUCCAGCCAUACCGCGUGGGUGAAGAAGGUCUUCGGGUUGUAAAGCCCUUUUGUUGGGAAAGAAAAGAAGCAGAUUAAUCCCCCGCUGUUCUGACGGUACCCAAAGAAUAAGCAACGGCUAACUUCGUG
rnacentral:rRNA from 1 species